AAAUGGAUGGUAUAAAUGCCUGUGGGGAGCUCCAUUGAGCAAUGUUAAGUAUGGCAGUAUGGAGACCUUUGUGGGCGUUAUGCAGAUUCAGUGCCAUGUGGACCAUGCUGCCACGUACUUCUUCCAGGUGUGAUAGAGACUGACAAGGAUGGUUUGUGUUGUGCUGUGUUAUUUUGACAUGUUGUAGAGUCAUCUGGGAAGAAGGAUCCUCAAUCCAGAACACUGCUCCAAGAAAGCGUCCAUAGAACAUCCUGUUGAAAGCUCCCUUGAGGACUGACUCUUAUGAUGGUGAACAUCCUGUUGAGCGCUCCCUUGAGGACUGACUCUUAUGAUGGUAUAGAUCCCUCUGUGUGUGUUGUCAGGCUUUGGGCUAUUUGGGUUUUACCAGAAUGCAAGUAGAGAUAUGUUGUAC